CGUAAAAUCCUCGUUGUUGGUGCUCGCGGUGUGGUUCACAUGCCGCAGUUCAACGGGAAGCAGGGAGGUCGCCGUCAGCCAUGACGGCACCGAGCCUGCGCUGCCCCCGCAACGGUCAGCGGACGAAUCACCCGAUUCUCUCUUCAACACUCAGCCACUGGGCGCCUUGAACAAGCGCCUGGGAAGGCGUUGGAGGGCGUUCCGCCAGCCCGGAUACCGGCCAACACGGUGGCCGUGCG
rnacentral:ncRNA from 2 species